rnacentral:rRNA from 1 species
CCUACGGGAGGCAGCAGUGGGGAAUAUUGCGCAAUGGACGAAAGUCUGACGCAGCGACGCCGCGUGUGGGAUGACGGUCUUCGGAUUGUAAACCACUGUCGGGAGGGACGAAUACGCCGCAAGGCGGGUGACGGUACCUCCAAAGGAAGCACCGGCUAACUCCGUGCCAGCAGCCGCGGUAAUACGGAGGGUGCGAGCGUUGUCCGGAAUCACUGGGCGUAAAGGGCGCGUAGGCGGCCUGAUAAGUAGGGGGUGAAAUCUUGCGGCUUAACCGCAAGGCUGCCUUCUAAACUGUCGGGCUCGAGCACAGUAGAGGCAGGUGGAAUUCCCGGUGUAGCGGUGGAAUGCGUAGAGAUCGGGAAGAACAUCAGUGGCGAAGGCGGCCUGCUGGGCUGUUGCUGACGCUGAGGCGCGACAGCGUGGGGAGCAAACAGGAUUAGAUACCCUGGUAGUCCCAGCCGUAAACGUUGGGUGCUAGGUGUGGGGGGCAUCAACCCCUUCCGUGCCGAAGCUAACGCAUUAAGCACCCCGCCUGGGGAGUACGGCCGCAAGGCUAAAACUCAAAGGAAUUGACGGGGGCCCGCACAAGCGGCGGAGCAUGUGGCUUAAUUCGACGCAACGCGAAGAACCUUACCAGGGCUUGACAUGCGGGGUAGAGCCGUGGAAACACGGCGCUCCUUCGGGAGCCCGCGCAGUGCUGCAUGGCUGUCGUCAGCUCGUGCCGUGAGAUGUUGGGUUAAGUCCCGCAACGAGCGCAACCCUCGUCCUAUGUUGCCAGCGGAUAAUGCCGGGGACUCAUAGGAGACUGCCGGGGUCAACUCGGAGGAAGGUGGGGAUGACGUCAAGUCAUCAUGCCCCUUAAGUCCAGGGCUUCACGCAUGCUACAAUGGCUGGUACAAAGGGCUGCAGACCGCAAGGCUGAGCGAAUCCCAAAAAGCCAGUCCUCAGUUCCGAUUGGGGUCUGCAACC